GGGCCUGGAAGGGGGCGUGGCUUGCGGGCCUCUGGGCCGCCCGGCCUCUUUAGGUGCCGCAGCGGAAGGCCUGGAGCAGAGGCUGCUUCUCCGCCCAAGCACUCCCUGGACAACCUGAUGCCAUCAUGGAGGCUGAAAAUCCUCACACCUUUCAUUCUGUCUAGGGCUGACUGGAACCAGGGCUGGCUGAUCAGCUGUCAGGCUGCUCUUUAGCGAAGCUUGGAAAGUUCCAGCAAAAGCCCUGCCUUUGAACCGGAAUCACUCUGCCACCAUCUGCACAUGGAUCCUUUGUAGUGGAGACAGUGAUCUUUGUUCUGUAUAAAAACAGACUGGAACUCUUCUUGGGCCUGUCCCUCUGCUGACAAUUCCAAGUAAUGCUUUAUCAUCCCCAAGUGCAUUGCGUUGCUUUAAUAUCUGGCAGAGCGUGAAUUGUAAACACAUCAUUAGACUUAAAGGCUGCCCUGAGAUGGUGGCUGGAGGAGAACGGGGCCUGAAGAAAAGAGGAAUUUGGCUGAAAAUGAGCUGCUGAAUAAUUUAUCAUGAAUUGAAAUGUCAAUACCUUAAGUGAGGCAUGGUGAAGCUUCAGAACUCAGAGAGAAAGGAUUUCAUUCUUCUACCCAGGCUGGAGUGUGGUGGUACGAUCAUAGCUCACUGCAGCCUUGAACUCCUGGGCACAAGGGAUCCUCCCACUUCACCCUCCCGAGUAGCUACAUGCCUCCACGUCCUCUAGUUUUUAAAACUUUUGUGUAGAGAUAGGGUCUCACUGUGUUGCCAAGAAUGUUCUCCAGCUUCAGGCCUCAAGUGAUCCUCUUGCCUUCGUCUCCCAAUUCUUAAGUAUGUUAUUC
rnacentral:lncRNA from 10 species